ensembl:lncRNA
CAGAAAGGUGACCACUGGAUAUGGCACAGUGGAGACUACUGGAACUUUGAUAGGCACAGUUUCAGUGUCAUGAUAGAGCAGAUGCCUGGUGGAGCAAGUGGAGACAGCAGGAACACACAUGUUGUUCACAAAAAUCUACUGUGGGAAGGAUGACAUUAGAAGGCCAUCUUAUUAUUCUUAAAUUUACAGAAUCAAAGUAAUAGAGCUGAAGGCACAUGAAGCUAAUUCUACCUGCUCUCAUUCUUUUGGGUAAGUGAAUAGACAAAUAACUGAGAUGAGCUCGUCACUAUGUUAUUCUCAAAGAAAGCUCG